UAUAGGAGACAUAAAGAGAAGAACACGAUCAGAUCCCUACCCUUGAGAAAUCCAGCAAAUGGCGCAUCUCAGAGAAGCUCCCAUUUUCCUUCUUCACUAUCAUCUUCAACCUUGAAUACUCAACCACUGCUCCCCACUUUUCCACCAUUUUCGUUUCUUUUCAAGCAAAACAAAGAGCCAGCUUCUUCAGUUUCUUUUCUUUACUGCAAAGAUCAGAAAACACAAAAAAAGAUAGAGAAAGAAUACAUAGCAUAAAGGCUAAAAAACGAGAUGAAAUGAAAAGCAAGAGAUCCGAGUUUCGACGAGUUUUGGUGUAAUUUGAAUUUUCCGGCGAGUUCCGAGUCCAUGGAAGGUCGUACUCUGAGCUUUCCUGGGCUGAUUGGUUGUUGUCUGCUUCAUUGCUAAGCCCCAGCUUUCCUUCGCCUUUACUUGACUGUUUUAGAUCAAAUGUUGCAAUCUAGAUCCUGGAGCAGCUUUCAGACAGUAGUUGGAGGGCUUCUUUCAGUCCAUCCGGAGACCCAAGGUAGACCUGCAGACACCCGCGGGCCCUAGCAUCUCCCUCUAUCUCUAUUUCAUGUUUCCUUUAUCUCUUUCUCAGGAACAACACUAUGUAUUUUCUUCAGACUUUGUAUGUAGUGACUCUUAGACAGUCUGUAGUAUUGUGACACCAGAUUUUGGGGUAUUGAAGCUUAAAAGUGAAAAUAGACGUAGCUCUAAGCUUUAUAAA